AAGCAACGCGAAGAACCUUACCAGGUCUUGACAUCCCGCUGACCGCUAUGGAGACAUAGUUUUCCCUUCGGGGACAGCGGUGACAGGUGGUGCAUGGUUGUCGUCAGCUCGUGUCGUGAGAUGUUGGGUUAAGUCCCGCAACGAGCGCAACCCUUGUUCUUAGUUGCCAUCAUUUAGUUGGGCACUCUAAGGAGACUGCCGGUGACAAACCGGAGGAAGGUGGGGAUGACGUCAAAUCAUCAUGCCCCUUAUGACCUGGGCUACACACGUGCUACAAUGGACGGUACAAACGGUUGCCAACCCGCGAGGGGGAGCUAAUCCGAUAAAACCGUUCUCAGUUCGGAUUGUAGGCUGCAACUCGCCUACAUGAAGCCGGAAUCGCUAGUAAUCGUGGAUCAGCAUGCCACGGUGAAUACGUUCCCGGGCCUUGUACACACCGCCCGUCACACCACGAGAGUUUGUAACACCCGAAGUCGGUGAGGUAACCUUUAUGGGGCCAGCCGCCGAAGGUGGG
rnacentral:rRNA from 1 species